CUACGACAAAUCGAAUAAAAUGGACACACUACUCGCCCGUACACUACGCCCUAGAACGCAACGCCCUCACAUUACAUCCAUACGAGCCCCCGACGGCACCAUGAAAACCACACCAACAGAGAUAGCGCAGACUUUUACCUCCUAUUACGAAGCCCUAUACAACCACACCCCCCAAGGCCAUAUGCUCACUCAGACAGCCUGCCAGAGGACAUCGGAAUUCUUAGCGCGCCUCAACCUACCCAAACUCCAUACC